rnacentral:sRNA from 1 species
AUUCCAUGCAGCUAAAAGCAGUCAGCUAGAACCAGUUUUUGAGAUGAGAUGAAAACUAACUAUCUGGCUUCCCUGGCCCAAAUGGAAAUAUGCCCAAAACCGAGAACGAGGUGCCCUCGCCAGCCUCCUCUCAUCACAGUAGCAACCAGCCAGCCUCGCUGACGGAAGAGAAGCGCACCCCGCAGGGCAGCCAGAACUCGCUGAACACGGUGAGCUCGGGCAGCGGCAGCACCAGCGGCAUCGGCAGUGGCGGCGGCGGGGGUAGCGGUGUGGUCAGCACCGUGGUGCAGCCCUACGACGUGGAGAUCAGGCGCGGGGAGAACGAGGGCUUCGGCUUCGUCAUCGUGUCCUCGGUGAGCAGGCCCGAAGCAGGCACGACCUUUGCAGGCAAUGCAUGUGUGGCUAUGCCUCACAAAAUAGGUCGGAUUAUUGAGGGGAGCCCUGCUGACCGCUGUGGCAAGCUGAAAGUAGGAGACCGGAUCUUGGCAGUAAAUGGAUGUUCCAUCACCAACAAAUCCCAUUCAGACAUUGUGAACCUUAUCAAGGAAGCGGGAAACACAGUUACCCU